UGCCAACUCUAAUUGUAGUACUUCACUCAGUAGCUCGCUUCGCCCGACUCAGCUGGCUGUUGAAGAAGCCAAGCGUAAGCACGCCACCGCAUUCUUCUCGUCGACUCAAUCUCAGAAUUGUAAUCUCCCGGCGAGGAAAUGUCUCACUCUCACAAAUUGGUGAUCAAGAGGUCUUCGAUGAGUCGUCCACCACCACCACCACCAACUACAAACAAGGAUCAACAGCAUCAAAAUCCUUCUCUUCAAGAAAUCAAUAUCAAGUUGAUUCAGAGCGGAGAAAAAGAACGGCUGAAGGAGCUUUUGAGGGAAAGGCUUCUUGAAUGUGGUUGGAUUGACGAGAUGAAAGCUCUUUGCAGGGCAUUUACAAGGAAGAAAGGAAGGAACAAUGUUACAGUGGAUGAUCUAGUUCAUGUAAUCAGCCCAAAAGGCAGAGGCAUGAGUAUACAGUUAUGCCCUGCCAAGAAGGUCCUUCCGAAUACAUAGAAAAGCUUGAAAAAAAUUAAAAAUACAUGUUUCCAAGUAACAUAGGGUGGGAAGAUGCUUUUGAUCAGGCAUUCAAGUUGGUUUGUAAUUCAAUAUGAGGGAGAAGAAGGCGGACAAAUUCAUGGACAAUAAUAGUAUACGAGAAAAAGCAUACACCCUAAUCCAUUUCCCAUUUAUUUAUGAUAGCAUCCGUUCCCAAUUCCAUGAAGGCUGAACUGUUACAACGGAUCCGAGCUUUCCUUGCAUCAACAGCAGAUUGAUAUUGUUGGAGCUUGGAUCACAAAACUAUUGGAGUUGAGUUGACUGCUGAUAAUGGAAUGUAGUAAGGAAGGAGUGGUAUGGUGUUUGUACAUUUUCUCGUAUCGUAAUACUUAUUUCUAUGUAAAUAAAUUUUGAUAAACUCAGUUGAAACCCUAUAUCAGACAGAAUUGUUCA